rnacentral:rRNA from 1 species
UACGUAGGUGGCAAGCGUUGUCCGGAUUUAUUGGGUUUAAAGGGUGCGUAGGCGGGCAGGUAAGUCAGUGGUGAAAUCUCCGGGCUUAACCCGGAAACUGCCGUUGAUACUAUCUGUCUUGAAUAUCGUGGAGGUAAGCGGAAUAUGUCAUGUAGCGGUGAAAUGCUUAGAUAUGACAUAGAACACCGAUUGCGAAGGCAGCUUACUACACGAUCAUUGACGCUGAGGCACGAAAGCGUGGGGAGCAAACAGG